rnacentral:rRNA from 1 species
GGAGGGUGCAAGCGUUAUCCGGAUUUAUUGGGUUUAAAGGGUCCGUAGGCGGACUCGUAAGUCAGUGGUGAAAUCUCACAGCUCAACUGUGAAACUGCCAUUGAUACUGCGGGUCUUGAGUAAGGUAGAAGUGGCUGGAAUAAGUAGUGUAGCGGUGAAAUGCAUAGAUAUUACUUAGAACACCAAUUGCGAAGGCAGGUCACUAUGUCUUAACUGACGCUGAUGGACGAAAGCGUGGGGGAGCGAACAGGAUUAGAUACCCUGGUAGUCCACGCCGUAAACGAUGCUAACUCGUUUUUGGGUCUUCGGAUUCAGAGACUAAGCGAAAGUGAUAAGUUAGCCACCUGGGGAUACGUUCGCAAGAAUG